rnacentral:tRNA from 1 species
UGUUGUGGCGCAGUCGGUAGCGCGUCGCCUUGGUAAGGCGGAGGUCACGGGUUCAAGUCCCGCCAAC